rnacentral:lncRNA from 1 species
UAUAUAUAUACUACUUAUAAAAGCGUGAGUUUUGAAUUUUUUUCUCUUUCCAAAAAUGGCUCUAUCCUUUUUUACUAAUAUCUUUAUGUCCAGUAAUUUUCAACCAAUCAUUUCAAAUAAUUCACUAAGUAAUAAUUUAUUCUCAAAUAAAGAUAUUAAUUUUGCCAUUAGAUUUUAUCUAACAAUUGAAAAUAAAAGUAUCUGUCACUUUUUGUAACAAUAAUACCCUCACAUUUAUGUCAUAUCUUCUAUCUACGCGUUUCUCAAACAUUUUCUUCUCACACGUAAUACCCGUACCUGUCAAUCCUUUCUCAACAUAAUAUUCGUGAAUUCUUAAAUAUCUCAUUAAUCCACCUAUCAUACAGGUCCACCACCUACAUAAUAUCCAAUUAACCUUCUCGCACGAAAUAUCCACGCGUUUCUCAAAUAUUUCAUCAAAAUUCUAAUAUUUUUUCAUUGUUUCUCAAAAAUUCUCUCAACCUAUCAUAAUUUUGAAUUAAAUAUAUUCUUACAUUUGGAUUCAAAUAUUAAAAUGGAUCAAAAUUAAAUUUUAAUAUUUAAUACUUUCUCAUUUUCAUCUAUACAUUUCUUAAAUAUAAAGCAUAUCUUUUUUCAUUUUUACUAUACGUUUUCUCAAAUAUAUUAUUUUUAUUUUCUCAAAUAUAUUAUUUUAGUAUUAUUUUAUUUGUUUCUCAUAGUCGUCCUCCUGAUCACCUUAAUUCGCCACAGUUGAAAAAGUAUUUUAGCUCCACCUAAUUCAUUUUAACAUGUCAUAAUAUAAUUUUCUAUUUAAUUCGUCUUUUGUAUACUUUGUUUUACUUUUUAAGAUAUUUAAAUGCUAAUAAGUUUGCAUCUUCAUGAUCUUUUAUCUCUCAUAUUAAUUGCGUAAGUCACCGUCCUUCCGACACAUCGUUGUCCUCCUCACCGACAGCAACACGUCAUCACCUUCGCCAAUCAUCGUCGCCUUCGCUAGCAUAUCGUCAUCGUCACCUUUGGCAGCACUUCGUCAUCAUCCUACUCACUGAAAUAAUCGUUUUUCUGACAAUUAGAAAAGUAUUUUGGUUCUACCCAAUAUUCUCAAUCUAUACCUAAUUCUUCAUUUUAUUUUCUAACUUAGAUUUACUAGCUAAGUGCACGUGAAAUACACGUUACAUAAAAUAUUAAAAAUAUAAUAUAUACUGGUUAAAAUUUUUGAAAAACUAAACGCAUAACUUUUAAUUUUUUAAGGAAAGUCUUCAAAAACGCCCCCUAUGGUUUCUCACUUUGGCCCCCUGUGGUUUAAAAUGUAUCAAAUUCCCCCCAUGUGGUUUCGUUUUUAUCUUUUCAGUAGCUUUUUCGUUAAUAUUUCAUUAAAUUAUAUACAAAAAAAACUUCAGAUACCCAUCUAGAUUUAUCAAAUAUUCAUUUUAGUACCCUUUAAUUUUAAUUUUAUCACUGAUUUAAGAAAAAAAAAUAAUAAAAUUGAUAAGAAAAAGAGAAAAAAGAAACCACCGGGGGGCAAAUUGAUACAUUUUAAACCACAGGGGGGCAAAGUGAGAAACUAUG